UGCAGUCGAACGGAGAAUUUAUUUCGGUAAAUUCUUAGUGGCGAACGGGUGAGUAACGCGUAGGCAACCUGCCCUUUGGAUGGGGACAACAUUCCGAAAGGAGUGCUAAUACCGAAUGUGAUCCAUUUCUCGCAUGAGAGAUGGAUGAAAGAUGGCCUCUAUUUAUAAGCUAUCGCCAAAGGAUGGGCCUGCGUCUGAUUAGUUAGUUGGUGGGGUAACGGCUCACCAAGACGAUGAUCAGUAGCCGGUCUGAGAGGAUGAACGGCCACAUUGGGACUGAGACACGGCCCAAACUCCUACGGGAGGCAGCAGUGGGGAAUCUUCCGCAAUGGACGAAAGUCUGACGGAGCAACGCCGCGUGAGUGAUGAAGGUUUUCGGACUGUAAAACUCUGUUGUCAGGGACGAAGGUGCGAUCUGCGAAUAGUUGAUCGUAUUGACGGUACCUGACGAGGAAGCCACGGCUAACUACGUGCCAGCAGCCGCGGUAAUACGUAGGUGGCAAGCGUUGUCCGGAAUUAUUGGGCGUAAAGAGCAUGUAGGUGGGCUUUUAAGUCCGAUGUGAAAAUGCGGGGCUCAACCCCGUAUGGCAUUGGAUA
rnacentral:rRNA from 1 species